rnacentral:misc_RNA from 1 species
CGCAGCCGCGGUAAUUCCAGCUCCAAUAGCGUAUAUUAAAGUUGUUGCAGUUAAAAAGCUCGUAGUUGAAUUUCGGAAUCAAUGGAUCGGUCAUGCCACUCGGUGUGUACUGGUUUGAUUGGUUCUCACCUUCUAAGGAACCGUGAUGUCAUUAAUUUGGUGUCGCGGGGAAUUAGGACUGUUACCUUGAAAAAUUAGAGUGUUUAAAGCAAGCUCACGCUUGAAUACAUUAGCAUGGAAUAAUGAAAUAGGACAUUGUAUUCUAUUUUGUUGGUUUCUAGGAUCGAUGUAAUGAUUAAUAGGGAUAGUUGGGGGCAUUAGUAUUCAAUUGUCAGAGGUGAAAUUCUUGGAUUUAUUGAAGACUAACUACUGCGAAAGCAUUUGCCAAGGAUGUUUUCAUUAAUCAAGAACGAAAGUUAGGGGAUCGAAGACGAUCAGAUACCGUCGUAGUCUUAACCAUAAACUAUGCCGACUAGGGAUCGGAUGAUGUUAAUUUAUAAUGACUC